UACGAGUGCCUCAAGCGUUAUCCGGAAUCAUUGGGCGUAAAGGUUGUGUAGGUGGUCAUAUUAGUCUUCUGUUAAAUUCUUCGGCUUAACCGGGAGCAUGCAGAGGAAACGGUAUGACUCGAGGAUGCGAGGGGUCUGUGGAACUCAUAGUGUAGCGGUGAAAUGCGUUGAUAUUAUGGGGAACACCAAAAGCGAAGGCAGCAGACUGGAGCACUCCUGACACUGAAACAAGAAAGCGUGGGUCGCGAAUGGG
rnacentral:rRNA from 1 species